AGAUGAGGUCACGGGGCUUCUGUGAGCAAGUCUCGGGGAAUUCCACAGCCACCUGUAGCAGGGAAAACAUGUCCAACGGGGCUUGACCUCGAGACAAUAGCUGAAAUUAGCAAAGUCACAAAGACCAAUGAGCAGCUGGAAAGAGUCUUUACGACUUACACGGCAGGUCAAGGAUUAACAGCACUGGCUCAUUCAGAACAUCUCACGUGGGACAGACGGUGGCAGACAGCCUGCGGAAAAGUGGGCCGCAGACAUGAAGAGCUCCCAGGAAAAGGGGUAGCCCGUGAUUUUGCACUUAGAAAAAAGGAGCAACGUCCCUGGUAACAAGAAAAAUGCAAAUGAAAAGUACAGGCUGAUACCAUUGCUUCCCUAUCUGAUUGGCGGACGUCCAGACGUUUGACCGGCCACACAUUCCUCGGGCGAGGCCCCGGGGGGUCCGCGCACACACAUCACCAGUGGGCGGGGGGCCUGGCGCUAUUAGCCAACGCGCCAGUUGACCCCUCGGGUUAGCUCCACUUCCAGGAACUGACCCAAAGCCCUGUGGGAAAACAGAAAGCGAAGUGUGCUGUGCUCGUCACAUCAGAAAACCCCGCAGACGACGACGAGAAAGUCCCUCCGGUAGCUGAACAGAGCGUCACGCAGCCACCCGGGCACCCGUUGUCAGUGUUUUCACCAGUGUGCGAAGGAACCCAGCCCAAAGAACUGCACUGUCACUAGUAACGACCACUCGUGCGUGACGAUGCUGCGAGAAAUCCUCACUGACCCUUUGCGGGGUGCUCGGGCCCCUGAUUCUGGAACCGAGUCCGGAAGGGACAGUCCUGUGGAUCCUGCCCGCCCCGUUGGCACUGACCUUCAGGGGGAAGAAGCCGCAGGUGCUGGGGCCGCGCUCGGCCCUACUUCCUCUUGCGGUUGUGGGUCCUGUGAUGUCGGGAACCGCUUUGAAGCCGACAGCAGGCAGGGUGGGGCGCGGACUCAGGGCAGAGAUUAGACCCAACGGCCUCUGAAUUGGCCAUUGUUGGCUGGCCGCUAAAUAGGGUCCCGACACAACCAACGUGA